AGCUUGUCAUAUACUGAUGCUUUGUCACUAUUUUACAUGUCUCAUCUAGACGUACAAGGUACCCUUCAGCAUCUGUGGCUGAUGAGCAAAGCCCUGCACCCUUUGCAUCUUAUCCACUAUGGACAUGCCAAAAGUGCAGAACAUAAAUGCUGUGUGUUGACUUACCACGGGCUGUCCUUGGUCACCCCAUUCAAAAAACUAUUUUCUGGUUGUCAGCUGGCUGCAAUGAGAGACAGAGAUGGACAUGGACACACAGUUACUGUGGGGAAGAGUACAGCAGAGUGAAGAGCGACAACUUCACUGCCUUGACAUUCCCUCGGGGCUCUGUUGAAAAAUAAGUGCUGAUGUUGGCUUGUUGCUGAUCCUAGUAGUCCAUGGUGGAGUAAGAGAAGAGAAGAAGAGGGAGGGGCAGAGAAGAGGUCUUUAUACUGUCUCCACAUUUCUCUCCUUUUCUUUCUUAAACGGCUAACGGUCUGGUCUCCUGUGGGCUAUAGGUGCAGAGAUCAGCUUUUUAAUAUCUGUAAAGUUCUGACUAUUAAAAUUGAUUAAAGUUAUCGCUGUGAUCUAUCAUUGAUAGAGGGGGGACAUUAUAUGGGCCUGCUCUCAUUAGCAAGUUAAGGGGAUUCAGAACGACAGGCAGGGAAAGAGAGAAGGAUUGGGGAGGAAGGAGAAUGAGAAGCACAGGGUUAGAAAGAAAGCAGGAGAGACACAGUUAGUGGUCACAUGAACAGACAGGGUAAGAGACAGUGCUGUGUGAUACUGCUGCAAGAGAGAUUAUUUUUGC